rnacentral:rRNA from 1 species
GACGAACGCUGGCGGCGCGCCUAACACAUGCAAGUCGAGCGAUGAAAUUUUAACCGAUCUCUUCGGAGAGAAGAUAAAAUGGAUUAGCGGCGGACGGGUGAGUAACACGUGAGAAACCUGCCUUUCACAAGGGGAUAGCCUCGGGAAACCGGGAUUAAUACCCUAUGACACAUUUCCUUCGCAUGGAAGAAAUGUUAAAACUCCGGUGGUGAAAGAUGGUCUCGCGCCUGAUUAGCUAGUUGGUGGGGUAACGGCCCACCAAGGCCAUGAUCAGUAACCGGCCUGAGAGGGUGAACGGUCACAUUGGAACUGAGACACGGUCCAAACUCCUACGGGAGGCAGCAGUGGGGAAUAUUGCACAAUGGAGGAAACUCUGAUGCAGCGACGCCGCGUGAGCGAUGAAGGCUUUCGAGUAGUAAAGCUCUGUCCUAUGGGAAGAUAAUGACGGUACCAUAGGAAGAAGCCCCGGCUAACUACGUG